rnacentral:lncRNA from 1 species
CGUAGUAACAAAAUAAAUUCAUAUACAUAAUAACACACAGCGCAAGGGUAUACAAAAAUAUUUUACAAUGCCAUGUGAGCCCCAAAAUAACAAAAAUAAAUAAGACUGUAGACCUACGAUUUCUAAGGGUGCAAAUCCAAAAGCAAACCCUUGACAAAAUCGACUGUCUACAGACUGCUCUGAACCUGAAAUGGGUGAAAAGAAGGGGGUGAGUUUUUAUAAACCCAGUGAGUAAGGAAAGUUCAUUUAUAACAUCUAAAACUGAGUAAAUUGAGACAAUUAAAACAUCUCUCCAUAAGAUGAUUCAUAACAUUAAAACUCAUUUCAACCAUAUAAAACAAUUACAUUUCAUCAAAAAUAAUCAGUAAGGCUUAUGACUCUCUUAAAACUUGGCUCGUGACAAAACUCGUACUCGAUGACACCUUGCGCCGGGCAUCCAACCGAGUCCUCCAAGGUUGUUAAAUUAACAUAUACACAUAAAAAAUGUUUUUACGUUUAAAAACGUAGUCAUUCUUUGGCGUUGGCUGAGUUUCACCCUCACGUGGUGGUUCCAUGUGAAGUGAACUCUAAACUACCUUAGGAGAUGCCCUCGGUGCCUCUCCUACUAAGGUAAAAUAUAACGGGAUUUACCAUGCCCCUUUAAUAGGCUAGUCCACGAAAACCCGCCCACUGCAGUAAGCUAAUCACUUACCCCACCAAAUCAAUAAAAAUUUCAGCAGCAUGACAUGGCUAAUAUGAUAUUACCCAGCCUGUCAAGGUAAAACAAAACAAUUUAUAUAUUCCACACAAACACAAAUCCAGCCAUUCAUGCCAUCACAUUGUCAUAAGCCAUCAAUUCAAACCAUAUAUCAAACACGAGUAUAUAGUCUCCACUUACUCAAUUUCCACAAUCAGUAUUCGAUUUCAAAAUAAGUUAUAAAUCUCAUUUCGUUUAACCAACACUUCAAUUUUAAAACAUAAUAAUUUACAAUUUAAACUCAUUAUUCUUUAAAACAUAAAAACAAGUAGAAACAACUUUAGAUAGUUAAGAUGAAAGUCUGUUACUCACUAUAACUGGAGUACUCUAACUCAUAGCCCUCGGGUACGAUAUCUUUACUCUUACUAGAGGGCUCACCACCUAUACAUAAUGCACAACAAGUAAUUCGAUACACUUGUGUCAAACUGUUAUAAGACUAUUUUAGGCUCUUUAUGAAUGUAUGAAAUUGAAUGAGAAGUGUUCGAAUAAUCACUUAAAGAUGGUGUUCUACAUAGGUUCAAUUGUUGUUGGACUGAAAUGGUAUUCAACCUAACUCGCACUAUACACUAUUUAAUUAGCCAAAACAUCCAAUUCAACUCCAAAUAGAUUCAUUGCACUUUCGGUACUCCAAUAAGUCCAUAUACCUCAUUAGAAAUCAAUUCUAAGUCCAUUUACUAUAAUUUUCUCAUUAUCGUUCAAGUCGUUUACUAAAGGAACUAUAUUUUUCGAUAACCGUUUUUGAUAUCCGACAUCACGAAUCAUCAAAUACGAGCUAGUUAACAUGAAAUAUGACAAAAUUCAUCUUCAAAAUAUUCCCUAUAAAAUUCGGCCAAUAGGGUUUGAUGAAGAACAUAUUAUUUUCUUACUUGUUUUUCACACCGAAUAUCACAAACAACUAAAAAUGCCUAGAUAACAUGAGAUCUAGCAAAACCUAUCCUCAAAACCUCCCCCCCCCCCCUUGAUUCAGCCAGCAUGCUUCUAUCAUGAAAACUUGAGUUUCAACCAUGGAAAAUGAAAAAGAAAGCAUGGGUAAGGUAGAUCUUAAGCUAAAUCGC